GACGAACCGUGCAAACGUUGUUCGGAAUUACUGGGCGUAAAGGGCGCGUAGGCGGCCUUCUAAGUCGAACGUGAAAUCCCCGGGCUCAACCCGGGAACUGCGUCCGAUACUGGAAGGCUUGAAUCCGGGAGAGGGAUGCGGAAUUCCAGGUGUAGCGGUGAAAUGCGUAGAGAUCGGAAAGAACACCAACGGCGAAAGCACUCUGCUGGGCCGACACUGACACUGAGAGACGAAAGCUAGGGGAGCGAAUGGG
rnacentral:rRNA from 1 species